rnacentral:rRNA from 1 species
CCCUUAGAUUUUCUGGGCCGCACGCGCGCUACACUGAUGCAUUCAACGAGUUUCUUCCUGGUCCGAGAGGAAUGGGUAACCUUUUGAAAGUGCAUCGUGAUAGGGAUAGACUAUUGCAAUUAUUGGUCUUCAACGAGGAAUUCCUAGUAGACGUAGUUCAUCAGACUGCAUCGAUUACGUCCCUGCCCUUUGUACACACCGCCCGUCGCUCCUACCGAUUGAAUGCUCAGGUGAGCCAUUCGGACCUUCAUCAUGCCGGUUUCCGGUUUUGAUGAGGGAAAGUCUUGCGAACCUUAUCAUUUAGAGGAAGGAGAAGUCGUAACA